rnacentral:tRNA from 1 species
GGAGGGGUCGCAUAGUCCGGUUUAGUGCGCCCGCCUCGAAAGCGGGUGGGCCCGCAAGGGUCCCGUGGGUUCGAAUCCCACCCCCUCCGCCA